GACGGCAAAGUUCCGGAUCGUGCACAUUGACGUCAAUUUUUAGCGACCGCUAAACUGUGGAAGUUUUGUUAAAAAGUUACCACAAAAUUAUGCCAACUUUAGCCGACUUCUUGGAAAUAAAUUAACGCGAGCUUGUUUGUAUUUCAACAAUUAAGUCUAAACAACUCAACAACUUUGGUUUGUUUUUUUGUGGACGAGCACGAAGUCAGCAAUCAAAGUAAUCCUGGACUGGAGGACAUCAGGAACUGAGACCCACUUUUCAAGUGCUUGGACCUUAAGCAUCAAGAUUUGUGUGUGUGAAUAAAAGACACUUUUGCACAUUGUUCAGAUGAGGCUGACGGCUUGGCUGGCGGCGGAGACGGAGUGAGCCCAUGUAUGACCAACUUCAUUUUCAGGACAAAAGUACAAAAUGUAUUAUAAGGCAAGAAAAUAAGGAUAAAUAUAAUAGUAAGGCUGAAUGAAUAUAUGAAUAAUUUGAUAUAAUUUUCAGUUCUUUGUUCUUCCACAUAGACAUGCAACAUUUAAUAACAUGUAAGACACACACACAAACUA